rnacentral:rRNA from 1 species
UGCGUAGGCGGUUAUAUUAGUCGGGUGUUAAAUCCUGGGGCUCAACCUCAGGCUCGCAUUCGAAACGGUAUAACUAGAAGAAGUCAGAGGUAAGCAGAACUCUCGGUGUAGGGGUGAAAUCCGUUGAUAUCGAGGGGAAUACCAAAUGCGAAGGCAGCUUACUGGGACUUUCUUGACGCUGAGGCACGAAAGCGUGGGUAGCGAACG